UGGAUUUAAAAUAAAGACUAUAUUACUGAUAGUCCGACUGCAGCCACCUGAAGUACCUGAUUUUUUUCUAAAGCAUAUACAAUUUUAAAUUCGCUUUAGAGGUGACUAAGUAUAUAAAAAAUUAAUUAACAGCUAAAAAGGCAAAGCUAAGUUUCUUUAUUAAACUAUUUCAUGGUUAUUAUUAACUCCAGCAAAGACAGCAGGGCUAACUGAUAUACAAAACAAGCAAGUCUACCGAAGUAAAGGCUAAGAAAAAAAAAAGGAUGCGCCUUUACUAAUUUUUCUUUAAUCCUAAUCAUAAGUUCGAUUCUCGCCUGUGCACAGCUUUGAUUUGGUUAUGUCUUUCUACUCUUGAGCUAAACUUUAAAUUUAAAAACAGCUCACCUCGGUAUAGUAAAGGCUCCUUCGUUAAGAAGCCUUGCAUCCCACAUAACAGUUGUAAAAUGAGGAUAUGCGUUGCACGAUUUGAGUGAUUCAGUGACGUCGCUCGAGAUUUCCUUUCAUCUGUUGCGCGCUUGCUUGGUGGUCUGCUUCUUGGUUCGGUAGCGUGGAUGGGCUAGUGAAAUUAACAAAUCCUAUAUAGUUUUCGUACAGAAUUAUCUUUAUUACACUUCGAUCACAGGAGUAUGUAGUGACAGCGCAUAAAAAACAACAUAUUUGACAAAGACUUUUUUAUUAUAAAUAAAACUUUCAUUUAACAGUUAAU